rnacentral:rRNA from 1 species
CCUACGGGUGGCAGCAGUGGGGAAUCUUGCGCAAUGGGCGAAAGCCUGACGCAGCGACGCCGCGUGCGGGAUGAAGGCCUUCGGGUUGUAAACCGCUUUCAGCAGGGACGAUUGUGACGGUACCUGCAGAAGAAGCCCCGGCCAACUACGUGCCAGCAGCCGCGGUAAUACGUAGGGGGCGAGCGUUGUCCGGAUUUAUUGGGCGUAAAGAGCUCGUAGGCGGUUAGGUAAGUCGGGUGUGAAAUCUCCGUGCUCAACACGGAGGGGCCACUCGAUACUGCCUUGACUUGAGUUCGGUAGAGGAGUGUGGAAUUCCAGGUGUAGCGGUGAAAUGCGCAGAUAUCUGGAGGAACACCCGUAGCGAAGGCGGCACUCUGGGCCGAUACUGACGCUGAGGAGCGAAAGCGUGGGGAGCAAACAGGAUUAGAUACCCCUGUAGUC